AGUUAGCUACAGUACUGUUCAUCGGGUUAAUCCCUCAAGUCCUCAACUGCGGUUACUUUAGUCAGCGUGAUUACUUCCCGAUCCUUCCGCUUGCUUUAUCCUCUCUCAAAUCGACUCUCCUCCCUUUCUUCUACAGUCUGCUCCCUCCACCGCCGACUGAUCCGUCAUCUUUCAGGAUUACAUCCCUGAUCCCCACACAGUUGGCGUUGAUCUCCUUCGGACGAGGGUGGGGGUUGUUAUUCACCAUCGGAAAUGGCGACAUAAUCGCAAGGCGACAAGGUUUUUGGGUUCCAGUGGUUGACCCAUGGAAACCAAUUUCAAUUUGGGAAUCCGUUAUUGACAAAUCUCCGAUGAUUGUUACCGAUUUUGAAUUUUCUAUAUGAUUGGUUGUUGGGUCGGUGUGUUGCACCAGUAGCGGUGGAGAAGAAGACUUCGAAAGCUUUAACGUUUGCACACCACCACAGUCACCGGUUAGCUUGCUGAGUGGAUUUCUUCUACAACUUUUCUUCUAGGUUCUGCUUCUAGGGUGCAUCGAUUGUUACUCUGUCACCCGCUUCACGAGUGAAAUGCCGAUCCCAGUUUCUAUGAUUCCUUUCUAUUUGUUUCUAAUUUUGAUUGCUUUGGUUUUGUUUUCCAGGUUUUGAUUGCAACUAUCAAUGAUACAGAUUGCAAAUACCAGUGGGAACUCCUCGCCCCUACCAAAGAAGAUUGAUUUUCAUAUCCUAAAGCAUUGGAAGAGAUUGUCGACAAGUAUAUUGAAGACGAUGGUAGGAAGGAAGUAGGAUGAUGAGGAAAGUAAACAACCUGUUUCAGCACCCAAUAACUUCGCCAUAAUACAAGCCCAUCCUGCGGUUACAAAUUUUUUAUAUGUGUUUUAUAGGAAUCGAGAUAUGACUAUAUUUGUGGGUAAAGCUUCAAUGUUAUUUUUUUUAUCUAUUGUAGUCUUAAAAUAUAGGAGUUAUUUUUGUCUAACCCAAAGUAUAGUACAAAACUUUGCUGUGUCCUUCAAAUUUUUUUUAAGAAGUGAAGCCAAAGCCAAAGCAUUGCAAGAUUAAAAAGCUGCAAAAGAAGAAGCAGCAGCAGCUAUGGCAGAGAGUCAAAGAAAGGUUGUUGAGGCUUUGACUGUUUCCAAGGAAGUAGUCAAAGAAAGUCAUUAGAGUUUAUUGCAGGGAAUGUAGUAAAACAGUUUAAAAAUAAAAACUAUAACUGGGACAAAAGAGAAUGUGAGAUGUGUUGUGUAGAAUUUUUUUUAACAUAAACCAAUUAGUGGAUUAACAUAGGUAAAUAACAGUUACCACAACAUUAGCAACAAAUGUUUGCUUAAUUACUUAGGCAAACUCCAAUGAUUGGAUUAGCGCAGAAUCAAUUCUCACAGCCGCAUGAUUUGCAGGGUCAACAUCAAAAAAAUAUCAGGUGAUUGAAUAUAAUGUUUUUAGGUUUAUAUUAUAAUAUAUUUGUUUAAUACUAAUAAAGUAGCUAAUUGAAAAUGGUGACUGAAAUUAGAUCAUUAACAAACACAUAUAUUUGACAAUUUUACCCUUAUAGUUAAAGUACGUUUUCCCUAAUGGAAUGGAAUGGACCAUUCCUAAAGAAAGAUGAUUCAUUCCAUUUUGUUAUUUUCAUUGUCUUUUUUAUUUCAUUCCAUCAUUGAUAUAACCCUUAUGUUAUUUAUCUGAUUUUUAAUGACACAUCUUUUUGAAAAUUUUACCCUUAUAGCUAAAAAGAGUUAAGUAGGUUGUGAUUUCCUUCGAUUUAUCCUUGUAGUUAGGAUAAUGUAUCAAAUAUAGAUAAAAUUAUAAUUUGUAGAAUACCAAAACCAAAAACUUCAACAGAUUCACCUGCAUAUUCAUUACUUUUUAACCUUUUUUUGGUUUUCAGUCUACGGAGGUUGGCAAUUUCAGUGACCUUUUAGGGGCAAAUAUUUAUUGUCUGGAUUCCGAGAUAAUUAAUAUUUGACGAUGAUAUCAUAUUACUUUUCGGUUUGUUAUAUGAAUCUCAACAAUCUCCUUCCCUACAACAAAGGUUAAAAGGAUUUCAAGAGAAAUUGGAGGUGUCUUUUAUGGAAUUUCAAUCUUGGACCUUACAUGGGAACCAAUUCAUUUCUGAAAUAAGUUCUCAGCUCUAGGAUUUCACGUAUGUAAGUUUUUAGUUAUGGAAACUUAGUUAUCAAAUUUGCUUUAGGCUUCACUAUCUGUAAUUCUAUGAUAUUAGUAGCUAUAGUUUAUCCAAAUGAAAAUUUUAUAAUGUUUGCUUC